rnacentral:lncRNA from 1 species
CAUGAAUCAGACACUUAAAACGAAGUCCUAAUAUACUCAGUUGGGGACAGGAAACAGCAGUAUUUGCAUCAAGUAUUAUAAGUAGAUGAUUUUAUCUCCGUUUUGUAUAAUUCCUACUGUCUAGAAGAACUUUUCUACAAUAUAUUUUCCAACAGCUUUAUGUCUUCUUCUUGGUUUUUGACAUGCAAAGAUUUUGCAUCAAGAGCCCAGUUGUCUUAGGUAGAUAUUUAUAAAUUAAUGGGAAAGAGAAUUGAUGUUCUACCAUUUGGAAUAAUCUAAAAAAGAAAGUAAAUAAAUGCUACAAGACCCCAAAACCCCAAAUUUCCUUUAAAAUAAAACUUGGAGAAUUUGCACGUUUUAGAAUUGUAUUAUGAAUUAUUGAAAAGUGGUCAGGGUAUCAAAAGAUAUAGUAAAUGAAAUGUUGUAAUCUUUUGUUUGUUUUGCAUAUUAUUCAAUAAGAUUGUGAAGGAGAUAGAUGGGGAGAAAAUGAUUCAUUUUCAAAAGUUAAAAUAUAAAAGAUUAAAUAGUUAUUUGAAUUAUUGAUAGAGAGGCAUAUAGAUAAGAUAUUUUAAAAAGGAGCUGCAAUGAGAAUGGGGUAUUCUAACAGCAGUUGGUCUUAGUUUUUUUUUUUUAAUCUGAAUCUACAUAGUAUCUAUAAA